GAGGUGUUGAUUGCUGGAUUUGGACGUAAGGGACAUGCGGUCGGUGAUAUUCCUGGUGUCAGGUUCAAGGUUGUGAAGGUCUCUGGUGUCUCUCUCUUGGCUCUCUUCAAAGAGAAGAAAGAGAAGCCCAGGUCUUAAGAGAAGAGACCUGUCUUAACCUGCAAACUCUUUGAUAGUUCUUUUUGAUAUUCCCGGUGUCAGGUUCAAGGUUGUGAAGGUCUCUGGUGUCUCUCUCUUGGCUCUCUUCAAAGAGAAGAAGGAGAAGCCCAGGUCUUAAGAGAAGAGACCUGUCUUAACCUGCAAACUCUUUGAUAGUUAUUUUAAAGAAUUCGGAUUGUCUCUUUUUGUUAUCUAGUGGAUUUUAUGAACAAUUUUUUAUCAAUUGUCUAGUCAAUGUAUUGCUGUGGUACAAUUUUGACUCUAGAAUUGAUAUUUGGUUAAUCAGU
rnacentral:lncRNA from 1 species